rnacentral:rRNA from 1 species
UAGCAUAUCAAUAAGCGGAGGAAAAGAAACCAACAGGGAUUGCCCUAGUAACGGCGAGUGAAGCGGCAACAGCUCAAAUUUGAAAUCUGGCUCUUUUAGGGUCCGAGUUGUAAUUUGCAGAGGGCGCUUUGGCGUUGGCAGCGGUCCAAGUUCCUUGGAACAGGACGUCACAGAGGGUGAGAAUCCCGUACGUGGUCGCUGGUCUUCGCCGUGUAAAGCCCCUUCGACGAGUCGAGUUGUUUGGGAAUGCAGCUCUAAAUGGGAGGUAAAUUUCUUCUAAAGCUAAAUACUGGCCAGAGACCGAUAGCGCACAAGUAGAGUGAUCGAAAGAUGAAAAGCACUUUGGAAAGAGAGUCAAAUAGCACGUGAAAUUGUUGAAAGGGAAGCGCUUGCAGCCAGACUUGCCUGUAGUUGCUCAUCCGGGCUUUUGCCCGGUGCACUCUUCUAUAGGCAGGCCAGCAUCAGUUUGGGCGGUUGGAUAAAGGUCUCUAUCACGUACCUCUCUUCGGGGAGGCCUUAUAGGGGAGACGACAUGCAACCAGCCUGGACUGAGGUCCGCGCAUUUGCUAGGAUGCUGGCGUAAUGGCUGUAAGCGGCCCGUCUUGAAACACGGACCAAGGAGUCUAACAUCUAUGCGAGUGUUUGGGUGUCAAGCCCGAACGCGUAAUGAAAGUGAACGGAGGUGGGAACCCUUUAGGGCGCACCAUCGACCGAUCCUGAUGUCUUCGGAAGGAUUUGAGUAAGAGCAUGGCUGUUGGGACCCGAAAGAUGGUGAACUAUGCUUGAAUAGGGUGAAGCCAGAGGAAACUCUGGUGGAGGCUCGCAGCGGUUCUGACGUGCAAAUCGAUCGUCAAAUUUG